rnacentral:tRNA from 1 species
GGGAGUAUAGCUCAGUUGGUAGAGUGCCUGCCUCCUAUGCACAAGGGCCUGGGUUGUAUCCCCAGCACUACAA